AUGAACGCGAUGAUGAGGAUCAAUCGUUCCAAUUUCGAUCAUGCAGAGAGCCGGUGUCUGGUGAAAACCGGUUGACGAUAGGGAUGAACUCGCCUCGGAGCAAUGGUGUUAACCCGGCCGUCGGAGGGCUGUAUUCCGGCAGAAUCGGCCGAUGAAGCAUCGUCGUCUUAUCCGCGAUAAGGAUGCAAAGGGAGCGAAAGGCAAAGCAUGCCUUUGGCUAACUAGGGUGGUACCACGGGAAUCAAACCUCUCGUCCCUAGC
rnacentral:ncRNA from 1 species